rnacentral:rRNA from 1 species
GGUCAAGCUACUAAGGGCGUAUGGGGGAUGUCUAGGCGAUAAGAGGCUCUAAAGGACGUGGUAAACUGCGAUAAGCUUGGGGAAGCCGUUAAACAGGUGUUGAUCCCAAGAUCUCCGAGGUGCGAGUACUGAAUCCAUAGGUACUCGUGGCGAACGCGGACAACUGAAACAUCUCAGUAGCCGCAGGAAAAGAAAGAAAAAUCGAUUUCCUCAGUAGUGGCGAGCGAACGGGAAACAGCCCAAACCGCGAAGGUUUUCCUUUGCGGGGUUGUAGGGCCCUUCACAUGAGAGUUACCAAGCAGUGCAUUAGCUGAAUCUUCUGGGAAGUUGAACCAUAGCGGGUGACAGUCCCGUAAGCGACAUUGCAUUGCCUCUCGAAGGGUACCUGAGUAGGUCGAGCCACGUGGAAUCUCGACUGAAUCUACGGAGACCAUUCCGUAAGGCUAAAUACUCCUUAUCGACCGAUAGUGAACAAGUAGCGCGAGCGAAAGAUGAGAAGAACCCCGGCUAGGGGAGGUACUGAACCUGAAACCAUACGCCUACAAGCUGUCGAAGGACUAUGCCCGCAAGGGAAGGUCUAACGGCGUGCCUUUUGCAUAAUGAUCCGGCGAGUUACCGUCAGUGGCUUGGUUAAGACCUUCAAGGUCGAAGCCCAAGGGAAACCAAGUGUGAAUAGCGCGUAAUUGGUCACUGGUGGUAGACGCGAAACUGCGUGAACUACCCAUGAGCAGGCUGAAUCUCGGGUUAUACCGAGUGGAGGGCCGAACCCGUCUGGGUUGAAAACCGGUGGGAUGACUCGUGGGGAGGAGUGAAAGUCUAAUCAAACGCAGAGAUAGCUCGUUCUCUCCGAAAUACCUUUAGGGGUAGUCUUGGAUCAAUUAUUUGUUGGGGGUAGAGAGACUGAAUGGACUUGAGGCCUUAACCCGGUGCUCUGUCCAACCAAACUCCGAAUACCGACAAACGUACUCCGGGAAUGAGACUGCGAGGGAUAAGCUUCGUAGUCGAGAGGGAAACAACCCAGAUCAUCGGCUAAGGUCCCGAAGUAAAACUUAGUCACUAAGGAAGUUGAGUUGCUGAGACAUCCAGGAUGUUGGCUUAGAAGCAGCCACCAUUUAAAAAGUGCGUAACAGCUUACUGGACGAGCAAUUCUGCGCCGAUAAUGAACGGGAGUUAAGUUUUACACCGAAGCCAUGGGCUCGUAGUAAUACGAGCGGUAGGAGAGCGCUGAAUAGGAGAUACAAGCCAUACCGUAAGGAGUGGUCGCGGCCUAUUCAGGUGAUUAUGUCGGAAUGAGUAACGAUAAAGCAGGUGAGAAUCCUGCUCGCCGAAAACCUAAGGUUUCCUGGGGAAGGGAAAUCCGCCCAGGGUUAGCCGGUACCUUAGUCGAGGCCGAAAGGCGUAGACGAUGGACAGCAGGUCAACAUUCCUGCGCCAUAUCCAUGGAGUGAUGGGGGGACGGCGUGUCAAAGAGAAGCGGUACGACUAGAAACGUCCGUAGCGUCGGGGUCGAUGAGGGAUAGGCAAAUCCGCCCUCGUAAAUCGGCGCCGAAACUCGAUCGCAUUUAUGUUCGAGAAGUUCUUCGCGACACGUCCAAGAAAAGCCUCUAAACGUUGAAGUGGAUUGACCGUACUAAAACUGACACAGGUAGGUGAGACGAGUAGUCUAAGGCGCUCGGGAGAACGCUGGUUAAGGAACUCUGCAUAUUGACCCCGUAACUUCGGGAUAAGGGGUGCCUCCGUUGGUUUAUAGCCUUUGGGGGCCACAGUAAAUCGGUUCCAGCAACUGUUUAUCAAAAACACAGGACUCUGCCAACUCGCAAGAGGAUGUAUAGAGUCUGACGCUUGCCCGGUGUCGGUAGGUUAAGGAAGGAGGUUCGCCGCAAGGCAAAGCUUUCGACCGAAGCCCCGAUAAACGGCGGCCGUAACUAUGACGGUCCUAAGGUAGCGAAGUUCCUUGUCGGGUAAGUUCCGACCUGCAUGAAUGGCGUAACGACUGGAGCACUGUCUCAACCAGCGACCCGGUGAAAUUGUAGCCGUGGUGAAGAUGCCUCGUACCCGCACUGAGACGGAAAGACCCCGUGAACCUUUACUGUAGGCUGAUAUUGGGCUGAGACACACUUUGUGUAGGAUAGGUGGGAGGCUAUGAUCUGGGCACGCUAGUGUUCAGGGAGCCGUCGUUGAAAUACCACCCUGGGUAUGUUUUAGUUCUAACCUUGUCCCCGUGAAACCGGGCAGGGAACAGUGUCAGUUGGGCAGUUUGACUGGGGCGGUCUCCUCCAAAAGAGUAACGGAGGAGUCCAAAGGUACCCUCAGCCUGGUUGGCAAUCAGGCAACGAGCGCAUUGGUAGAAGGGUGCUUAACUGCGAGACCGAUGGGUCGAGCAGAUACGAAAGUAGGGCAAAGUGAUCCGGUGAUCCCGUAUGGAAGGGUCAUCGCUCAUCAGACAAAAGGUACUCUGGGGAUAACAGGCUUAUCGCUCCCGAGCGUCCAUAGCGGCGGAGCGGUUUGGCACCUCGAUGUCGGCUCAUCACAUCCUGGGGGUGAAGAAGCUCCCAAGGGUUCGGCUGUUCGCCGAUGAAAGUGGUACGUGAGCUGGGUUCAGACCGUCGUGAGACAGGUCGGUCCCUAUCUGGUGUGGGCGCACGAAACUUGAGGAGAUUCAUCUUUAGUACGAGAGGAUUUGGAUGGACAUACCUCUGGUGUCCCAGUUGUCGCGCUAGCGGCACGGCUGGAUAGCUAAGUAUGGAAAGGAUAAACGCUGAAAGCAUAUAAGCGUGAAGCCCGCUCCAAGAUUAGGUUUCGUUGCACUUUAAGUGCGAGAGUCCCCUGGGAGACUACCAGGUUGAUAGGCCGGACGUGUACGUGGGGUUAACUCACUUAGCUAACCGGUACUAACGGACGAAUGCUUGGCCAC